UGUGUGUGUGUGUGUGCACGCGCGCGCGUGAGCAUCACAGUCCUUGGUUUUUUGAUGACCUCUCAUGUUUCUCCAAUUGCGCUGUAUCAGCCCCUGCAGAAACCUGUUCGCAUCUCCUCCGGGGGUCACAUGGGUGGAUCCUACCCCAAGCCCAGUCCUAGCUUUCCAAAUGAAGACUCAAGUGAGCAGCAUAUCAGCAGAUUAAAUUUGUCUUCUUUUUCUUUCUCAACAAGGGCCAGGUGAUGAGUGGUUUUGUUCUGGAUCCCCGUGUGGCCCAUGAGCUCUGCCCAGUGCCCGUCCUCAGCUAGCAGCAUCCUUCCCGGCCUUGGGGAGUCACUUCUCUAACCUUGUCUUUGUUCACAGCCGCCUUCUCGAGCUCCUGUGAAAGCUGCGGCUCCUACUUCCCCUGACUGCGGAGCAUGCAUGCCGGUCGCUGCCACCCUCCACGCCCAGGCUCUGCACCUUCCCUCUGCUGUCCGUGGUGCUCGAAUGGCGAGAAAGGGAGGUCACCGGGCCUCGAUGCCGUGGCAAAGGUAGUCGGCAAAGCAGAACUCAAACAGAAGAAUCGAUAACGAAACGUACCCAGGCUCGUGUUUCCAUCCUUGCCGUGGCUACUAGAAAGCUUGCUACACUUCAGCUCAGUAAUUGUAUCAUCUUCUCUUCCUCCUCCUUCCACUUGAGGUUUUCAAUUUUCGAUUCCCAUUUUUAGCAACCUUGUUGUACGCACGUCUUUUGUCGGAUGCUGCCUCAAAUCCUUCUGAGGAGCUGACGGGGUAUAAAUUAUAAAUAAAAAUAAAUCCCGCUG